UACAGAGGGUGCAAGCGUUGUUCGGAAUUACUGGGCGUAAAGCGCGUGUAGGCGGCUGGUCAAGCGUGGUGUGAAAUCUCCGGGCUCAACCCGGAAACUGCAUUGCGAACUGACCUAGCUGGAGUGCAGGAGAGGGCAGCGGAAUUCCCGGUGUAGCGGUGAAAUGCGUAGAUAUCGGGAAGAACACCAGUGGCGAAGGCGGCUGCCUGGCCUGUAACUGACGCUGAGACGCGAAAGCGUGGGGAGCGAACCGG
rnacentral:rRNA from 1 species